UUAAGCGACUAAGCGUACACGGUGGAUGCCCUGGCAGUCAGAGGCGAUGAAGGACGUGCUAAUCUGCGAUAAGCGUCGGUAAGGUGAUAUGAACCGUUAUAACCGGCGAUUUCCGAAUGGGGAAACCCAGUGUGAUUCGUCACACUAUCAUUAACUGAAUCCAUAGGUUAAUGAGGCGAACCGGGGGAACUGAAACAUCUAAGUACCCCGAGGAAAAGAAAUCAACCGAGAUUCCCCCAGUAGCGGCGAGCGAACGGGGAGCAGCCCAGAGCCUGAAUCAGUGUGUGUGUUAGUGGAAGCGUCUGGAAAGGCGCGCGAUACAGGGUGACAGCCCCGUACACAAAAAUGCACAUGCUGUGAGCUCGAUGAGUAGGGCGGGACACGUGGUAUCCUGUCUGAAUAUGGGGGGACCAUCCUCCAAGGCUAAAUACUCCUGACUGACCGAUAGUGAACCAGUACCGUGAGGGAAAGGCGAAAAGAACCCCGGCGAGGGGAGUGAAAAAGAACCUGAAACCGUGUACGUACAAGCAGUGGGAGCACGCUUAGGCGUGUGACUGCGUACCUUUUGUAUAAUGGGUCAGCGACUUAUAUUCUGUAGCAAGGUUAACCGAAUAGGGGAGCCGAAGGGAAACCGAGUCUUAACUGGGCGUUAAGUUGCAGGGUAUAGACCCGAAACCCGGUGAUCUAGCCAUGGGCAGGUUGAAGGUUGGGUAACACUAACUGGAGGACCGAACCGACUAAUGUUGAAAAAUUAGCGGAUGACUUGUGGCUGGGGGUGAAAGGCCAAUCAAACCGGGAGAUAGCUGGUUCUCCCCGAAAGCUAUUUAGGUAGCGCCUCGUGAAUUCAUCUCCGGGGGUAGAGCACUGUUUCGGCAAGGGGGUCAUCCCGACUUACCAACCCGAUGCAAACUGCGAAUACCGGAGAAUGUUAUCACGGGAGACACACGGCGGGUGCUAACGUCCGUCGUGAAGAGGGAAACAACCCAGACCGCCAGCUAAGGUCCCAAAGUCAUGGUUAAGUGGGAAACGAUGUGGGAAGGCCCAGACAGCCAGGAUGUUGGCUUAGAAGCAGCCAUCAUUUAAAGAAAGCGUAAUAGCUCACUGGUCGAGUCGGCCUGCGCGGAAGAUGUAACGGGGCUAAACCAUGCACCGAAGCUGCGGCAGCGACGCUUAUGCGUUGUUGGGUAGGGGAGCGUUCUGUAAGCCUGUGAAGGUGUACUGUGAGGUAUGCUGGAGGUAUCAGAAGUGCGAAUGCUGACAUAAGUAACGAUAAAGCGGGUGAAAAGCCCGCUCGCCGGAAGACCAAGGGUUCCUGUCCAACGUUAAUCGGGGCAGGGUGAGUCGACCCCUAAGGCGAGGCCGAAAGGCGUAGUCGAUGGGAAACAGGUUAAUAUUCCUGUACUUGGUGUUACUGCGAAGGGGGGACGGAGAAGGCUAUGUUGGCCGGGCGACGGUUGUCCCGGUUUAAGCGUGUAGGCUGGUUUUCCAGGCAAAUCCGGAAAAUCAAGGCUGAGGCGUGAUGACGAGGCACUACGGUGCUGAAGCAACAAAUGCCCUGCUUCCAGGAAAAGCCUCUAAGCAUCAGGUAACAUCAAAUCGUACCCCAAACCGACACAGGUGGUCAGGUAGAGAAUACCAAGGCGCUUGAGAGAACUCGGGUGAAGGAACUAGGCAAAAUGGUGCCGUAACUUCGGGAGAAGGCACGCUGAUAUGUAGGUGAAGUCCCUCGCGGAUGGAGCUGAAAUCAGUCGAAGAUACCAGCUGGCUGCAACUGUUUAUUAAAAACACAGCACUGUGCAAACACGAAAGUGGACGUAUACGGUGUGACGCCUGCCCGGUGCCGGAAGGUUAAUUGAUGGGGUUAGCCGCAAGGCGAAGCUCUUGAUCGAAGCCCCGGUAAACGGCGGCCGUAACUAUAACGGUCCUAAGGUAGCGAAAUUCCUUGUCGGGUAAGUUCCGACCUGCACGAAUGGCGUAAUGAUGGCCAGGCUGUCUCCACCCGAGACUCAGUGAAAUUGAACUCGCUGUGAAGAUGCAGUGUACCCGCGGCAAGACGGAAAGACCCCGUGAACCUUUACUAUAGCUUGACACUGAACAUUGAGCCUUGAUGUGUAGGAUAGGUGGGAGGCUUUGAAGUGUGGACGCCAGUCUGCAUGGAGCCGACCUUGAAAUACCACCCUUUAAUGUUUGAUGUUCUAACGUUGACCCGU
rnacentral:rRNA from 1 species